rnacentral:tRNA from 7 species
CGGGAUGUAGCGCAGUCCGGAUUAGCGUACCUGAAUGGGGUUCAGGUGGUCGUGAGUUCAAAUCUCACCAUCCCGA